ensembl:snoRNA SNORD115 Small nucleolar RNA SNORD115
GGGUUAAUGAUGAGAACACAAAUGGUCUCGAAGAAAGAUGAUGACCUAAAAAUCAUGCUGAAUAGGAUUACACUGAGGUCC